rnacentral:rRNA from 1 species
UUAAAUUGAAGAGUUUGAUCAUGGCUCAGAUUGAACGCUGGCGGCAGGCCUAACACAUGCAAGUCGAACGGUAACAGGAAACAGCUUGCUGUUUUGCUGACGAGUGGCGGACGGGUGAGUAAUGUCUGGGAAACUGCCUGAUGGAGGGGGAUAACUACUGGAAACGGUAGCUAAUACCGCAUAACGUCGCAAGACCAAAGAGGGGGACCUUCGGGCCUCUUGCCAUCGGAUGUGCCCAGAUGGGAUUAGCUUGUUGGUGGGGUAACGGCUCACCAAGGCGACGAUCCCUAGCUGGUCUGAGAGGAUGACCAGCCACACUGGAACUGAGACACGGUCCAGACUCCUACGGGAGGCAGCAGUGGGGAAUAUUGCACAAUGGGCGCAAGCCUGAUGCAGCCAUGCCGCGUGUAUGAAGAAGGCCUUCGGGUUGUAAAGUACUUUCAGCGGGGAGGAAGGGAGUAAAGUUAAUACCUUUGCUCAUUGACGUUACCCGCAGAAGAAGCACCGGCUAACUCCGUGCCAGCAGCCGCGGUAAUACGGAGGGUGCAAGCGUUAAUCGGAAUUACUGGGCGUAAAGCGCACGCAGGCGGUUUGUUAAG